GCCGCACAUCUCUAUCUCUCUCUCUCUCUCAUGCUCUCAUGCGCGGAUCGAGCGCGGGGGCGCGGCGCCUCUGACGGCGCAGCGGAUCCGACAGCGAAGCUGGGCCUAGAACCCGGAUGGACGCAGGGCGCGGCACCUUAGGCGGCGACGCUGCGAGCCGGGUCUCUCCGGCAGCAGCACAGCGAUGUUCGGUCCCUCCAACGGUGGCGCGGUUGCGUAGGGUUCCUCCGGCAGCGGUGUGGGUCCUAGAGCCCUGAUGGGCGCGGUCGUCCACGAUGUCUUGGUAAGCAGCGACACUACUUGGAUGCAGCCUGUUUGUUCAUCAGACAUGUCAUGUGUUCAGUUACAACAGCCUCUCAUAAUUAAACCACCACGUCUUUGCAUUUCAUCGUUAUUGACGACGUAUGGGAUAUAAAAUCCUGGCAAGCAUUAGAAUCAGCUUUGCAUCAGAAAGAUAAUGGAAGUAGAGUUGUCAAAACUACUUGAAAUCUAGAAGUUGCCAAUGGCGAUGAAGAUUACCAGCUUGGCUCUAUUUCACAUGAUAACUCAAAGCUCUUUUACAUGAGGCUAUAUGGCAGUGAAGACAAAUGUCCUCCUAAUCAUCCUGAAGAGGCAUCCCAACGCAUAGCAAUGAUGAAGAGGAAGUAUUGGACAGUCUUUUGCUUGAGUUUCUGAAAAAUGGUUCUGUACAUAACCUGGUGGAGGCUCUAGUGUUGACAAGCCAUUGCUUUUGGUUUUUGAGUUCCUAGAAAUGAUUGUGUGCACAAACCUUAGUAUGUCAAACACAAACUACUAGUAUUACUUGUUGGGUGUGCAUUCAUAUGAUCUUUUGGUAGCUGACCAUGUUGGAUGAUGAACUAUGCAAGAAAAGAUUGUAUGUUUAUUUGUACUGACCUCCGUGUGAUGUAUGUGAUGGACCAUAAGCUUGAAUCUAGGCUGCAUGUUUUCUCAUUA